AUUGAACGCUGGCGGCAGGCUUAACACAUGCAAGUCGAGCGGAGCGAGGGUGCUUGCACCUUAGCUUAGCGGCGGACGGGUGAGUAAUGCUUAGGAAUCUGCCUAUUAGUGGGGGACAACAUUCCGAAAGGGAUGCUAAUACCGCAUACGCCCUACGGGGGAAAGCAGGGGAUCUUCGGACCUUGCGCUAAUAGAUGAGCCUAAGUCGGAUUAGCUAGUUGGUGGGGUAAAGGCCUACCAAGGCGACGAUCUGUAGCGGGUCUGAGAGGAUGAUCCGCCACACUGGGAUUGAGACACGGCCCAGACUCCUACGGGAGGCAGCAGUGGGGAAUAUUGGACAAUGGGGGGAACCCUGAUCCAGCCAUGCCGCGUGUGUGAAGAAGGCCUUUUGGUUGUAAAGCACUUUAAGCGAGGAGGAGGCGCUCUAGGCUAAUACCCUAGAUGCGUGGACGUUACUCGCAGAAUAAGCACCGGCUAACUCUGUGCCAGCAGCCGCGGUAAAAC
rnacentral:rRNA from 1 species